CACACACAGAACCACAGUUCAGUUCUGCACAGACAAACACCGAGCUGGGUCCAUCAGAACCUGGACUGGUUCUGAGGCCAUCAGGUCUGUGGUCGAUAAGAAGGAUGAGCGAUGGACCUAAAAUUUUAUCACAAUAUUUUGUUGUACAAUUGUGAUAUUGCUAAAGAUUUUUAUUUUAAAAAACUGUUGAUUAUUUUUUUAGGUAACUGUAUGCCACAAAAACAUAUUCAUGAAAAACUAAUUUGAAACGGAAAAGGUGUGAUUUAUAAGUUGCACACAGUGGCUGCAUUUAAUCAUAUUUUCAAAUUUACUCAUAUCUGUUGAUUUUCUUGUGGGACAAACAAUGGAGAAAAUAACAAAAGUAAAACUUCUGGUCAUCCUGCAAGUUUUGUUUUUUAUUUACCAUCAAUAAAUAAAAUUUAUCACAACAACACUGAAUUUAAAAUCCUAUAAGGAAUUUUUCACAAUAAAUGAUCACAAUAUAUGAUAAAUGCCGACCUGUAGCAGUUAACUCAGGUUAUUUUUGACCUGAUGAUGGCGCUGUUAAAACAAUGUUGAAACAGCAACAUCCAAUUUUUCUGUAAAUUAGAGUCCAAAUGUCUGAAGAAACAUUUCAAGUUCAGGAGUUUUUCUAUGUUUUUUAUGGAUGUAGAAAUAAAAACUGAGGUUUAGGUUUAAAAAAAAAUCUGAAAACUGAUUUAAAGAAGGGCAGAAACUAAAGAUCGAUUGAGUUUGGACAUGUGGAGGCCAGGAGAAGAGUCAGACUUUUUUGUGAUUUCUGAAUUGAACUGAAAGUUUUUCAGUGUGAUAAUCAAAACCCGGUUUGGAGCCGACCAGGUAUCAGGUGUUUCCACACCUGCUGGUGCGCUGGACUCGACUCAGGACCAAAAUUCCAGCAUUUUUUACAUUUCCAGCUGCUGCGGUUUUCUUUCUCAAUGCACUGAGUCAAAUGAAUUCAAAAACCUGUUCCCCUCCUGGCCUGUGGGGGCGCUGCACCAAAAUCCACUGAAGGAAACGACACAACAACCUCUGAAGACACUGAGCGCAACUUCCUUCUUCACCAAACGGAAACAGAAAAAUAUAUAUUUGAGUUGCAUUAGCUCACUGUGCCGUUGUUGGGGGAUCAACGCAGAUAAAAACUUUUCUAACUGAAAUUAAUUCCCACAGAUUGCAGUUAACUAAAUGUUUUCUCCCAAGGCGUCUCUUCCAACCCAGUAACUCUCCCCGGGGAAGCGGCGCUGAUGUCUGACUGAAGCGGACAGAUUUCUGGCGCGUGAUGGACGCAGUAAUCGGCCUUGCAGGAGCCUCUCUGUGAGCCAGAGUCCGGCGCUCCAUGCCAACCAGCGAUGUUUCCUGGAGCUGCUCCACUGACGGAGAAUAGAGGAGCGACUCUGUGGCCGCGGUGACCGCAGCCAGCCGCGCUCCCCUGGGACCUGGCUGCACUUCCUGCCUGUUGGUUAAGUUAUGCUGAUGUACAACCUGCGUCGCUCUGCAGGAUGCAGCGGCAUGGCUUGCAGCCGAGGGACUAAAAUAACGGACAUUUAUUUCAGAAAACAACUCUUGUUUGGAUCUUUGAUUCUUCAUGAAUGCUUAAAGUCGCAGAGCUGAUCAAAAAAAAAAAAACUGUCAAACAUCAGUGAGUUCCUUUAAAACCGUCUUCCAACCGAGGUUAUUAUAGGUAACUAAAACAAAAUAACUGAAACUCAAACUGAGAAAACAUUUAAACAAAAAAAAUAAAAAC